UACGUAGGGGGCAAGCGUUGUCCGGAAUCAUUGGGCGUAAAGCGCGUGUAGGCGGCCAGGUAAGUCCGUUCUGAAAGCCCGGGGCUCAACCCCGGGAGGCGGAUGGAUACUGCUUGGCUCGAGUCCGGAAGAGGCGAGUGGAAUUCCCGGUGUAGCGGUGAAAUGCGCAGAUAUCGGGAGGAACACCAAUGGCGAAGGCAGCUCGCUGGGACGGUACUGACGCUAAGGCGCGAAAGCGUGGGGAGCAAACAGG
rnacentral:rRNA from 1 species